rnacentral:rRNA from 1 species
UACAGAGGUCUCAAGCGUUAAUCGGAAUUACUGGGCGUAAAGCGUGCGCAGGCGGUGAUGUAAGACAGAUGUGAGAUCCCCGGGCUCAACCUGGGAACUGCAUUUGUGACUGCAUCGCUGGAGUACGGCAGAGGGGGAUGGAAUUCCGCGUGUAGCAGUGAAAUGCGUAGAUAUGCGGAGGAACACCGAUGGCGAAGGCAAUCCCCUGGGCCUGUACUGACGCUCAUGCACGAAAGCGUGGGGAGCAAACAGG